UCUUCACAGUUAAUCACUUCUUUGUCCUCCCUCUUCUUAAAUAUUACUACAAAAGAAAAUUGAAUUGGAGUGAUGGACUAUCAUUUACUAAGCUGAAAGUCUGAAAACCUCCCCUUCCCCCUCCCCCUCUUCUCCCAAUUUUUUUUUGGAAUAUAAAACAACACACCAUUCCGGGAAAUUCGGAGGCAGCAAUCCCAUUCCCCGUUCCGCUUCGACCCGCGUUCCGUGUAACACUGAUUGAGGGUGCUUAGAUCAACUUUUCUCCCAACUCUUGAGGAAAACCUUUGCAUCAAUAUGCACUCUCAUUAGAAUGGACUAAGCUGGUAGAUAGUUUGAUGGACGAAUCAUUUGUUCCUCAGAGUGCUUGUGAAGCUGUGUCAAAUCAGAAAUGGGGUCCAGUGAAACGUAAGAAACAUCUUGCUACAUUUGAAAUCACAGUGGAAGAAUUGAAUGAUUUAAACUAGAGGAGUGGAAAGCUAUUAAAUCUUGUAUUCCAGAGAGCAACACUACCUUGUCCAGUCCUUUGGAAAGCAGCUCGUCAAGGUAUUCAAUAAUCCGAGGGAGCCGCCUUUCAGCUUUGAGGCGAUAGAUGAAGUUUGAGAAAUGUUGGCAAACUUCAUUACUAGUGAAUGUUUUUUAUAUUUUCUUGUAUUGAAUCUUAAAUUAUGGAUUCUACUUAGUUUUCCAUAUGAUUGUAAUGUAAUCGAAUUUUAUAUUUACAAUUGUAUACUAUUUAAUUUAAUUAUCUAUAUAUUGGAUACUUUUUAUA